GCUCAGGAUGAACGCUAGCUACAGGCUUAACACAUGCAAGUCGAGGGGAAACGACAUCGAAAGCUUGCUUUUGAUGGGCGUCGACCGGCGCACGGGUGAGUAACGCGUAUCCAACCUGCCCAUCACUUGGGGAUAACCUUGCGAAAGUAAGACUAAUACCCAAUGAUAUCUCUAGAAGACAUCUGAAAGAGAUUAAAGAUUUAUCGGUGAUGGAUGGGGAUGCGUCUGAUUAGCUUGUUGGCGGGGUAACGGCCCACCAAGGCGACGAUCAGUAGGGGUUCUGAGAGGAAGGUCCCCCACAUUGGAACUGAGACACGGUCCAAACUCCUACGGGAGGCAGCAGUGAGGAAUAUUGGUCAAUGGACGAGAGUUUGAACCAGCCAAGUAGCGUGCAGGAUGACGGCCCUAUGGGUUGUAAACUGCUUUUAUAAGGGAAUAAAGUGAGUCUCGUGAGACUUUUUGCAUGUACCUUAUGAAUAAGGACCGGCUAAUUCCGUGCCAGCAGCCGCGGUAAUACGGAAGGUCCGGGCGUUAUCCGGAUUUAUUGGGUUUAAAGGGAGCGUAGGCCGGAGAUUAAGCGUGUUGUGAAAUGUAGACGCUCAACGUCUGCACUGCAGCGCGAACUGGUUUCCUUGAGUACGCACAAAGUGGGCGGAAUUCGUGGUGUAGCGGUGAAAUGCUUAGAUAUCACGAAGAACUCCGAUUGCGAAGGCAGCUCACUGGAGCGCAACUGACGCUGAAGCUCGAAAGUGCGGGUAUCGAACAGGAUUAGAUACCCUGGUAGUCCGCACGGUAAACGAUGGAUGCCCGCUGUUGGUCUGAAUAGGUCAGCGGCCAAGCGAAAGCAUUAAGCAUCCCACCUGGGGAGUACGCCGGCAACGGUGAAA
rnacentral:rRNA from 1 species